rnacentral:rRNA from 1 species
GUCCACGCCGUAAACGAUGGGCACUAGGUGCUCCGGGGAGCGACCCUUGGAGUACCGGCGCUAACGCAUGAAGUGCCCCGCCUGGGGAGUACGGCCGCAAGGCUGAAACUCAAAGGAAUUGACGGGGGCCCGCACAAGCGGUGGAGCAUGUGGUUUAAUUCGACGCAACGCGCAGAACCUUACCUAGGCUUGACAUGCACGGGAAAGUUGCUGGAAACAGUGACCCCUCUUCGGAGCCCGUGCACAGGUGCUGCAUGGCUGUCGU